rnacentral:rRNA from 1 species
GACGAACGCUGGCGGCGUGCUUAACACAUGCAAGUCGAACGGUGAACCAGAGCUUGCUCUGGGGAUCAGUGGCGAACGGGUGAGUAACACGUGAGCAACCUGCCCUUCACUCUGGGAUAA